rnacentral:rRNA from 1 species
GAGCGGCGGACGGGUGAGUAAUGCUUGGGAACAUGCCUUGAGGUGGGGGACAACAGUUGGAAACGACUGCUAAUACCGCAUAAUGUCUACGGACCAAAGGGGGCUUCGGCUCUCGCCUUUAGAUUGGCCCAAGUGGGAUUAGCUAGUUGGUGAGGUAAUGGCUCACCAAGGCGACGAUCCCUAGCUGGUUUGAGAGGAUGAUCAGCCACACUGGGACUGAGACACGGCCCAGACUCCUACGGGAGGCAGCAGUGGGGAAUAUUGCACAAUGGGCGCAAGCCUGAUGCAGCCAUGCCGCGUGUGUGAAGAAGGCCUUCGGGUUGUAAAGCACUUUCAGUCAGGAGGAAAGGUUAGUAGUUAAUACCUGCUAGCUGUGACGUUACUGACAGAAGAAGCACCGGCUAACUCCGUGCCAGCAGCCGCGGUAAUACGGAGGGUGCGAGCGUUAAUCGGAAUUACUGGGCGUAAAGCGUACGCAGGCGGUUUGUUAAGCGAGAUGUGAAAGCCCCGGGCUCAACCUGGGAACUGCAUUUCGAACUGGCAAACUAGAGUGUGAUAGAGGGUGGUAGAAUUUCAGGUGUAGCGGUGAAAUGCGUAGAGAUCUGAAGGAAUACCGAUGGCGAAGGCAGCCACCUGGGUCAACACUGACGCUCAUGUACGAAAGCGUGGGGAGCAAACGGGAUUAGAUACCCCGGUAGUCCACGCCGUAAACGAUGUCUACUAGAAGCUCGGAGCCUCGGUUCUGUUUUUCAAAGCUAACGCAUUAAGUAGACCGCCUGGGGAGUA